ACCCGGACUGAUAACUGGAUGGUUUGAUCGGACAGUUUCUAAGCUGUACAAUUUCAGUCCCAUACUGUCUUUUAAGUGUCCGGAAAAUCAAUGAUUUGAAAAUGCUUCUUACACGACUUUGAACUAUUUAAUCUAUGUUCCUUGCGCGUUUACUUUUUCUCGACAUCA
rnacentral:snoRNA from 1 species